UUCUGUAGGUUGAACCUGCGGAGGGAUCAUUACCGAGUUUACAACUCCCAAACCCAAUGUGAACGUUACCAAACUGUUGCCUCGGCGGGAUCUCUGCCCCGGGUGCGUCGCAGCCCCGGACCAAGGCGCCCGCCGGAGGACCAACCAAAACUCUUAUUGUAUACCCCCUCGCGGGUUUUUUUAUAAUCUGAGCCUUCUCGGCGCCUCUCGUAGGCGUUUCGAAAAUGAAUCAAAACUUUCAACAACGGAUCUCUUGGUUCUGGCAUCGAUGAAGAACGCAGCGAAAUGCGAUAAGUAAUGUGAAUUGCAGAAUUCAGUGAAUCAUCGAAUCUUUGAACGCACAUUGCGCCCGCCAGUAUUCUGGCGGGCAUGCCUGUCCGAGCGUCAUUUCAACCCUCGAACCCCUCCGGGGGGUCGGCGUUGGGGAUCGGCCCUGCCUUGGCGGUGGCCGUCUCCGAAAUACAGUGGCGGUCUCGCCGCAGCCUCUCCUGCGCAGUAGUUUGCACACUCGCAUCGGGAGCGCGGCGCGUCCACAGCCGUUAAACACCCAACUUCUGAAAUGUGACCUCGGAUCGAUAGAAGUUGAAGUUAAUC
rnacentral:rRNA from 1 species